GACGAACGCUGGCGGCGUGCCUAAUACAUGCAAGUCGAGCGCAGGAAACUGACGGAACUCUUCGGAGGGAAGGCAGUGGAAUGAGCGGCGGACUGGUGAGUAACACGUAAGGAACAUGCCUCAAGGAUUGGGAUAACUCCGAGAAAUCGGAGCUAAUACCGGAUAGUUCACCGGACCGCAUGGUCCGCUGAUGAAAGGCGCUUCGGGGUCCCCUUGAGAUGGCUGUGCGGUGCAUUAGCUAGUUGGUGGGGUAACGGCCCGCCAAGGCGACGAUGCAUAGCCGACCUGAGAGGGUGAUCGGCCACACUGGGACUGAGACACGGCCCAGACUCCUACGGGAGGCAGCAGUAGGGAAUCUUCCACAAUGGACGAAAGUCUGAUGGAGCAACGCCGCGUGAGUGAUGAAGGUUUUCGGAUCGUAAAACUCUGUUGUAAGGGAAGAACACGUACGAGAGGGAAUGCUCGUACCUUGACGGUACCUUACGAGAAAGCCACGGCUAACUACGUGCCAGCCGCCGCCGUAA
rnacentral:rRNA from 1 species